GCAUUUUUCUUACAAUUUCUCACUUUUUUCUUUGGGUUUUCAUGGAAAAUUUGUGAUCCACGAAAAUCCAACGGCUCGAUCUUCGAUCCGUCUUCGAAAACGCGAUCUACACGUAAGCAUCUACGUUUUCACCGAUUGCUUUGAGUGAUACAUUGCAAGGUGGUGUCUAGGAGACCUAAUGCUUAAUAUCCGCGCAACCAAGGUUUUGCGGAUAUAAAUAUUGACUCGUCCACCUAGCAUAUGGGAUGCUAUGAUUGGAGCAUAUCGCGACAGUCAUAAGUCACGGACUCAUGGGUAGUCCGCAUUUUGGGUAUUAUAUUUAUGGCUCGUGUCCUACGUGGCACACGUAUUUGUUUGGCCUGUAUUUUGGUAUGUAAUUAGUGUAAUGUGUUUUAUAAGCCUUAAAUAGAUAGACUUGUAAAUGGCUCUUGUUGUUGAUUACAGUUAUGUAUUAGAUGUAAUUCCGCUAUUGAUA